rnacentral:misc_RNA from 1 species
UUUCCGUUGGUGAACCAGCGGAAGGAUCAUUACAGAGACCGUGCCCUUCGGGGUAGACCUCCCACCCUGUGUUAUUUACGUAUGUUGCUUUGGCGGGCCGCCUCCGGGCUCUCGGCUUCGGCCGAGGUGUGCCCGCCAGAGAACCCACAACCCUGUGUUUAGUGUCGUCUGAGUAUUAUCAAAUAAGUUAAAGCUUUCAACAACGGAUCUCUUGGUUCUG